rnacentral:lncRNA from 1 species
CAUUGUGUUGGGUGUGGUCUCACUAGAAAUCCACGUACAUCCUAUGGCAUUUUCACCUCAUUCAUGACUAGAUCAUAAAAUGAGUUCAUAUAAAGAAUAUUGUAAUGGACCAAUUCACUAAUCCUUAAUACAGUGACAGUGUGUUCGCCACCUUGAUUGCGUGGGCAUCAGGUACGGGGUGAUUUGGCUUUAGUGCAAG